rnacentral:rRNA from 1 species
GGCUGAGUAACGCGUAGGUGACCUACCCCGUAGUGUGGAAUAACUGCCCGAAAGGGUAGCUAAUACCGCAUGUUGAGCCGACGUCAAUGUCGUCUCCAAAGCAGAAAUGCGCUAUGGGCGGGGCCUGCGUUCGAUUAGCUAGUUGGUGGGGUAAAGGCUUACCAAGGCGACGAUCCGUAGCUGGUCUGAGAGGACGAUCAGCCACACUGGAACUGAGACACGGUCCAGACUCC